rnacentral:rRNA from 1 species
GAUGAACGCUGGCGGCGUGCCUAAUACAUGCAAGUCGAGCGAACGGACGAGAAGCUUGCUUUUCUGAUGUUAGCGGCGGACGGGUGAGUAACACGUGGAUAACCUACCUAUAAGACUGGGAUAACUUCGGGAAACCGGAGCUAAUACCGGAUAAUAUUUUGAACCGCAUGGUUCAAAAGUGAAAGACGGUCUUGCUGUCACUUAUAGAUGGAUCCGCGCUGCAUUAGCUAGUUGGUAAGGUAACGGCUUACCAAGGCAACGAUGCAUAGCCGACCUGAGAGGGUUAUUCGGCACAACGGAACUGAGACACGGUCCAGACCCCCAACGGAAGCCGGAGUAGGGAAUCUUUCGGAAAUGGCCAAAGCCUGAACGAGCCACCGCGGCUUAGUUAUGAAGGUCCUCGGAUUCUAAAACCCUGGUAAUUGGGAAGAACAUAUGGUUAAGUAACUUGGCAAAUCUUGAACGGACCCAAUCAGAAAGCCACCGCCUAACACGUG